rnacentral:tRNA from 1 species
AGCCUUGUAGUUAAAUUAUAACGUCAAAUUGCAAAUUUGAAGGUGCGUGUUUAUAUCGUCAAGGUUU